CUGAUACCAAGGAGAAAUAUAAGAAGAAGAGAAGAAGUGGAGCUGGCUGAAAGAAGACGCGUAGGGGCCAGCGGACAAGCUUUUGCAGAACUAAUCCAGGAGUCCUGGUCAACGGAGCGGAUACCAAGGAGAAAUAUAAGAAGAAGAGAAGAAGUGGAGCUGGCUGAAAGAAGACGCGUAGGGGCCAGCGGACAAGCUUUUGCAGAACUAAUCCAGGAGUCCUGGUCAACGGAGCGGAUACCAAGGAGAAAUAUAAGAAGAAGAGAAGAAGUGGAGCUGGCUGAAAGAAGACGCGUAGGGG